GAUGAACGCUGGCGGCGUGCCUAAUACAUGCAAGUCGAGCGAACAGAUAAGGAGCUUGCUCCUUUGACGUUAGCGGCGGACGGGUGAGUAACACGUGGGUAACCUACCUAUAAGACUGGGAUAACUUCGGGAAACCGGAGCUAAUACCGGAUAACAUUUGGAACCGCAUGGUUCUAAAGUGAAAGAUGGUUUUGCUAUCACUUAUAGAUGGACCCGCGCCGUAUUAGCUAGUUGGUAAGGUAACGGCUUACCAAGGCAACGAUACGUAGCCGACCUGAGAGGGUGAUCGGCCACACUGGAACUGAGACACGGUCCAGACUCCUACGGGAGGCAGCAGUAGGGAAUCUUCCGCAAUGGGCGAAAGCCUGACGGAGCAACGCCGCGUGAGUGAUGAAGGGUUUCGGCUCGUAAAACUCUGUUAUUAGGGAAGAACAAAUGUGUAAGUAACUGUGCACGUCUUGACGGUACCUAAUCAGAAAACCACGGCUAACUACGUG
rnacentral:rRNA from 1 species